rnacentral:tRNA from 1 species
CAGAUUAUGUUAAGGACAUUUAUUAUUUACAUUAAUAAUUUACUUGUGCGAUUCAAGUUGAUCUGA